AACGAACGCUGGCGGCGCGUCUUAAGCAUGCCAGUCGAACGGCAAGAGAGGAGCUUGCUUCUCUCCUAGAGUGGCGGACUGGUGAGGAACGCGUGGGUAAUCUACCCUUAAGAUGGGGAUAGCUGCUAGAAAUAGCAGGUAAUACCGAAUACACUCGGCAUAUCACAAGAGGUGUUGAGGAAAGGAAGCUACGGCUUCGCUUGAGGAUGAGCUUGCGUCCCAUUAGCUAGUUGGUGAGGUAAAGGCCCACCAAGGCGACGAUGGGUAUCCGGCCUGAGAGGGUGAACGGACACAUUGGGACUGAGAUACGGCCCAAACUCCUACGGGAGGCAGCAGCUAAGAAUAUUCCGCAAUGGACGGAAGUCUGACGGAGCGACGCCGCGUGGAUGAAGAAGGCUGAAAAGUUGUAAAAUCCUUUUGUUGAUGAAGAAUAAGGGUGAGAGGGAAUGCUCAUCUGAUGACGGUAAUCGACGAAUAAGCCCCGGCUAAUUACGUG
rnacentral:rRNA from 1 species